UGGGGGAUAUUGCACAAUGGGCGAAAGCCUGAUGCAGCGACGCCGCGUGGGGGAUGAAGGCUUUCGGGUUGUAAACCUCUUUCGCUAUCGAACAAGGCCCGCUUAGGGUGGGUUGAGGGUAGGUGGAGAAGAAGCGCCGGCUAACUACGUGCCAGCAGCCGCGGUAAUACGUAGGGCGCGAGCGUUGUCCGGAAUUAUUGGGCGUAAAGGGCUUGUAGGCGGCUUGUUGCGCCUGCUGUGAAAACGCGGGGCUUAACUUCGCGCGUGCAGUGGGUACGGGCAGGCUUGAGUGUGGUAGGGGUGACUGGAAUUCCAGGUGCAGCGGUGGAAUGCGCAGAUAUCUGGAGGAACACCGAUGGCGAAGGCAGGUCACUGGGCCAUUACUGACGCUGAGGAGCGAAAGCAUGGGUAGCGAACAGG
rnacentral:rRNA from 1 species